rnacentral:lncRNA from 1 species
AUAGAUUUACGGUAUAUUCUUGUAAUUGUUUGAAUUCCAACAGUCAAAAAUCGAUAGACUACUUGAAUAUUAACGAAUUUCUAUACUACCUUCUAGAGCCAGACGUCCGACGCGUUCUCGAGCAGGAAAGCACGUAAUAUGACAGUGGGUGAUAGCACUGCUCGCAAGCCUUUAAUGGCAGGAUAUUGGUGGUUUACAAUAUUUUUUUAUGCACACCAAUUUGUUUGUCAUUGUGAUCC